GCGGCCAUGGCGGAAUUGGCAGACGCGUUGGUUUUAGGUGCCAAUGGGCAACCGUGUGGGUUCGAGUCCCACUGGCCGCA
rnacentral:tRNA from 2 species